AGCGAACGCUGGCGGCGUGCCUAACACAUGCAAGUCGAACGUGAAAAGGGAAACCUGAGUAAAGUGGCGUACGGGUGAGUAACGCGUAGGUAAUCUACCCCAGAAUCUGGAAUAACCUGCCGAAAGGCGGGCUAAUACUGGAUAGAGCGAGGGAACUCGUAAGAGAGUUUUUCGGGAAAGGGAGCCCGCAAGGGCCUUCGUUCUGGGAUGAGCCUGCGUCUCAUGAGCUAGUUGGUAAGGUAACGGCUUCCCAAGGCGAUGAUGAGUAGCUGGUCUGAUAGGAUGAUCAGGCACCCUGGAACUGAAGAAAGGUCCAGACCCCCACGGGAGGCAGCAAUGGGGAAUCUUGCGCAAUGGACGAAAGUCUUACGCAACCACGCCGCGUGAGUGAAGAAAGCCUUCGGGUUGUAAAGCUCUGUCGGAUGGGACGAACAUCUUCAUAGUGAAUAGCUAUGAGGACUGACGGUACCAUCAAAGGAAGCACCGGCUAACUCCGUG
rnacentral:rRNA from 1 species